AGAGUUUGAUCCUGGCUCAGAUUGAACGCUGGCGGCAGGCCUAACACAUGCAAGUCGAGCGGAUGAGAGGAGCUUGCUCCUUGAUUUAGCGGCGGACGGGUGAGUAAUGCCUAGGAAUCUGCCUGGUAGUGGGGGAUAACGUCCGGAAACGGGCGCUAAUACCGCAUACGUCCUACGGGAGAAAGCAGGGGACCUUCGGGCCUUGCGCUAUCAGAUGAGCCUAGGUCGGAUUAGCUAGUUGGUGAGGUAAUGGCUCACCAAGGCGACGAUCCGUAACUGGUCUGAGAGGAUGAUCAGUCACACUGGAACUGAGACACGGUCCAGACUCCUACGGGAGGCAGCAGUGGGGAAUAUUGGACAAUGGGCGAAAGCCUGAUCCAGCCAUGCCGCGUGUGUGAAGAAGGUCUUCGGAUUGUAAAGCACUUUAAGUUGGGAGGAAGGGCAGUAAGUUAAUACCUUGCUGUUUUGACGUUACCGACAGAAUAGGCACCGGCUAACUUCGUGCCAGCAGCCGCGGUAAUACGAAGGGUGCAAGCGUUAAUCGGAAUUACUGGGCGUAAAGCGCGCGUAGGUGGUUCGUUAAGUUGGAUGUGAAAGCCCCGGGCUCAACCUGGGAACUGCAUCCAAAACUGGCGAGCUAGAGUACGGUAGAGGGUGGUGGAAUUUCCUGUGUAGCGGUGAAAUGCGUAGAUAUAGGAAGGAACACCAGUGGCGAAGGCGACCACCUGGACUGAUACUGACACUGAGGUGCGAAAGCGUGGGGAGCAAACAGGAUUAGAUACCCUGGUAGUCCACGCCGUAAACGAUGUCAACUAGCCGUUGGAAUCCUUGAGAUUUUAGUGGCGCAGCUAACGCAUUAAGUUGACCGCCUGGGGAGUACGGCCGCAAGGUUAAACUCAAAUGAAUUGACGGGGGCCCGCACAGCGGU
rnacentral:rRNA from 1 species